rnacentral:rRNA from 1 species
ACGGGACUCUUCGGAGUUCAGUGGCGGACGGGUGAGUAACGCGUGAGAAUCUGCCUUCAGGUCGGGGACAACCACUGGAAACGGUGGCUAAUACCCGAUGUGCGCAACGUGAAAGAUUUAUCGCCUGAAGAGGAGCUCGCAUCUGAUUAGCUAGUUGGUGGGGUAAAAGCUCACCAAGGCGACGAUCAGUAGCUGGUCUGAGAGGAUGAUCAGCCACACUGGGACUGAGACACGGCCCAGACUCCUACGGGAGGCAGCAGUGGGGAAUUUUCCGCAAUGGGCGAAAGCCUGACGGAGCAAGACCGCGUGAGGGAGGAAGGCUCUUGGGUUGUAAACCUCUUUUCUCAGGGAAGAACACAAUGACGGUACCUGAGGAAUCAGCCUCGGCUAACUCCGUGCCAGCAGCCGCGGUAAUACGGAGGAGGCAAGCGUUAUCCGGAAUUAUUGGGCGUAAAGCGUCCGCAGGUGGCACUUCAAGUCUGUCGUCAAAGACUGGGGCUUAACCCUGGAAAGGCGGUGGAAACUGAAGCGCUAGAGUGUGGUAGGGGUAGAGGGAAUUCCCGGUGUAGCGGUGAAAUGCGUAGAGAUCGGGAAGAACAUCGGUGGCGAAAGCGCUCUACUGGACCACAACUGACACUCAGGGACGAAAGCUAGGGGAGCGAAUGGGAUUAGAUACCCCAGUAGUCCUAGCCGUA